CCUACGGGUGGCAGCAGUGGGGAAUAUUGGACAAUGGGCGCAAGCCUGAUCCAGCCAUGCCGCGUGGGUGAAGAAGGCCUUAGGGUUGUAAAUCCCUUUCAGCGGGGACGAUAAUGACGGUACCCGCAGAAGAAGUCCCGGCUAACUCCGUGCCAGCAGCCGCGGUAAUACGGAGGGGACUAGCGUUGUUCGGAAUUACUGGGCGUAAAGCGCACGUAGGCGGAUUUGUAAGUCAGGGGUGAAAGCCCGAGGCUCAACCUCGGAACUGCCUUUGAUACUGCAAAUCUCGAGUCCGGAAGAGGUGAGUGGAAUUCCUAGUGUAGAGGUGAAAUUCGUAGAUAUUAGGAAGAACACCAGUGGCGAAGGCGGCUCACUGGUCCGGUACUGACGCUGAGGUGCGAAAGCGUGGGGAGCAAACAGGAUUAGAUACCCUAGUAGUC
rnacentral:rRNA from 1 species